CCCUCUUCCUGGUUUUCUGCAACUUCACUUCCCUCACUGAGAGAAGUGAAGCUGCAGGGAACCAGGAAAAGGG